rnacentral:rRNA from 1 species
GAUGAACGCUGGCGGCGUGCCUAAUACAUGCAAGUCGAGCGAACGGACGAGAAGCUUGCUUUUCUGAUGUUAGCGGCGGACGGGUGAGUAACACGUGGAUAACCUACCUAUAAGAUUGGGAUAACUUCGGGAAACCGGAGCUAAUACCGGAUAAUAUUUUGAACCGCAUGGUUCAAAAGUGAAAGACGGUCUUGCUUUCACUUAUAGAUGGAUCCGCGCUGCAUUAGCUAGUUGGUAAGGUAACGGCUUACCAAGGCAACGAUGCAUAGCCGACCUGAGAGGGUGAUCGGCCACACUGGAACUGAGACACGGUCCAGUCUCCUACGGGAGGCAGCAGUAGGGAAUCUUCCGCAAUGGGCGAAAGCCUGACGGAGCAACGCCGCGUGAGUGAUGAAGGUCUUCGGAUCGUAAAACUCUGUUAUUAGGGAAGAACAUAUGUGUAAGUAACUGUGCACAUCUUGACGGUACCUAAUCAGAAAGCCACGGCUAACUACGUG